GACGAACGCUGGCGGCGUGCUUAACACAUGCAAGUCGAACGAUGAAGCCGGAGCUUGCUCUGGUGAAUUAGUGGCGGACGGGUGAGUAACACGUGAGUAACCUGCCCUUGACUCUGGGAUAACUGCGGGAAACUGUAGCUAAUACCGGAUACGACCCUCGGAGGCAUCUCCUGGGGGUGGAAAGAAUUUCGGUCAAGGAUGGACUCGCGGCCUAUCAGCUAGUUGGUGAGGUAAAGGCUCACCAAGGCGACGACGGGUAGCCGGCCUGAGAGGGUGACCGGCCACACUGGGACUGAGACACGGCCCAGACUCCUACGGGAGGCAGCAGUGGGGAAUAUUGCACAAUGGGCGCAAGCCUGAUGCAGCAACGCCGCGUGAGGGAUGACGGCCUUCGGGUUGUAAACCUCUUUUAGCAGGGAAGAAGCGAAAGUGACGGUACCUGCAGAAAAAGCACCGGCUAACUACGUGCCAGCAGCCGCGGUAA
rnacentral:rRNA from 1 species